GACGAACGCUGGCGGCGUGCUUUAACACAUGCAAGUCGAACGGAAAGGCCCUGCUUUUGUGGGGUGCUCGAGUGGCGAACGGGUGAGUAACACGUGAGUAACCUGCCCUUGACUUUGGGAUAACUUCAGGAAACUGGGGCUAAUACCGGAUAGGAGCUCCUGCUGCAUGGUGGGGGUUGGAAAGUUUCGGCGGUUGGGGAUGGACUCGCGGCUUAUCAGCUUGUUGGUGGGGUAGUGGCUUACCAAGGCUUUGACGGGUAGCCGGCCUGAGAGGGUGACCGGCCACAUUGGGACUGAGAUACGGCCCAGACUCCUACGGGAGGCAGCAGUGGGGAAUAUUGCACAAUGGGCGGAAGCCUGAUGCAGCAACGCCGCGUGCGGGAUGACGGCCUUCGGGUUGUAAACCGCUUUCGCCUGUGACGAAGCGUGAGUGACGGUAAUGGGUAAAGAAGCACCGGCUAACUACGUG
rnacentral:rRNA from 1 species